rnacentral:rRNA from 1 species
GAUGAACGCUGGCGGCGUGCCUAAUACAUGCAAGUCGAGCGAACAGACGAGGAGCUUGCUCCUCUGACGUUAGCGGCGGACGGGUGAGUAACACGUGGAUAACCUACCUAUAAGACUGGGAUAACUUCGGGAAACCGGAGCUAAUACCGGAUAAUAUAUUGAACCGCAUGGUUCAAUAGUGAAAGACGGUUUUGCUGUCACUUAUAGAUGGAUCCGCGCCGCAUUAGCUAGUUGGUAAGGUAACGGCUUACCAAGGCAACGAUGCGUAGCCGACCUGAGAGGGUGAUCGGCCACACUGGAACUGAGACACGGUCCAGACUCCUACGGGAGGCAGCAGUAGGGAUUCUUCCGCAAAGGGCGAAAGCCUGACGGAGCAACGCCGCGUGAGUGAUGAAGGUCUUCGGAUCGUAAAACUCCGUUAUUAGGGAAGAACAAAUGUGUAAGUAACUAUGCACGUCUUGACGGUACCUAAUCAGAAAGCCACGGCUAACUACGUG